UGCCUCAGUAACGGCGAGUGAAGCGGCAACAGCUCAAAUUUGAAAUCUGGGGUCUUUCGGCCUCCGAGUUGUAAUUUGAAGAGGAUGUUUCGGUGCGACCUGGGCCUAAGUUCCUUGGAACAGGACGUCAUGGAGGGUGAGAAUCCCGUACAUGGCUGCAGGUUUGCUUCUAUGUGAAACUCCUUCGAAGAGUCGAGUUGUUUGGGAAUGCAGCUCAAAAUGGGUGGUAAAUUUCAUCUAAAGCUAAAUAUUGGCGGGAGACCGAUAGCGCACAAGUAGAGUGAUCGAAAGAUGAAAAGCACUUUGAAAAGAGAGUUAAACAGUACGUGAAAUUGUUGAAAGGGAAGCGCUUGCAAUCAGACUCGCCUUCAGUUGAUCAGCCUUCCUUCUGGUUGGUGCACUCUGCUGUUGGUGGGCCAGCAUCAGUUGGGGCGGUGGGACAAAGGCUUCAGGAAUGUGGCUCGUUUCGGCGAGUGUUAUAGCCUGUUGCGUCAUGCCACCAGCCCCGACUGAGGUCCGCGGUUCGCCUAGGAUGCUGGCUUAAUGGUUGUAAGCGACCCGUCUUGAAACA
rnacentral:rRNA from 1 species